UAGAGUUUGAUCAUGGCUCAGGAUGAACGCUAGCGACAGGCUUAACACAUGCAAGUCGAGGGGCAGCGGGGAGGUAGCAAUACUUCCGCCGGCGACCGGCGCACGGGUGAGUAACACGUAUGGAACCUGCCCGUAGCAGGGGGAUAAGCGGAAGAAAUUCCGUCUAAUACCGCGUAAUAACUCCGAGAGGCAUCUCAUGGAGUUUAAAGGGUAAUACCGGCUACGGAUGGCCAUGCGGCGCAUUAGCUAGUUGGCGGGGUAACGGCCCACCAAGGCGACGAUGCGUAGGGGUUCUGAGAGGAAGGUCCCCCACACUGGUACUGAGACACGGACCAGACUCCUACGGGAGGCAGCAGUGAGGAAUAUUGGUCAAUGGGCGCGAGCCUGAACCAGCCAAGUCGCGUGAGGGAUGACGGCCCUAUGGGUUGUAAACCUCUUUUGCCGGGGAGCAAAGUGCCGCACGUGUGCGGUUUGGAGAGUACCCGGAGAAAAAGCAUCGGCUAACUCCGUGCCAGCAGCCGCGGUAAUACGGAGGAUGCGAGCGUUAUCCGGAUUUAUUGGGUUUAAAGGGUGCGUAGGCGGACGCUUAAGUCAGCGGUAAAAUUGCGGGGCUCAACCUCGUCGAGCCGUUGAAACUGGGUGCCUUGAGUGGGCGAGAAGUACGCGGAAUGCGUGGUGUAGCGGUGAAAUGCAUAGAUAUCACGCAGAACUCCGAUUGCGAAGGCAGCGUACCGGCGCCCAACUGACGCUGAAGCACGAAGGCGUGGGUAUCGAACAGGAUUAGAUACCCUGGUAGUCCACGCAGUAAACGAUGAAUGCUAGUUGUCCGGGGCGAUUGAGUUCUGGGUGACACAGCGAAAGCGUUAAGCAUUCCACCUGGGGAGUACGCCGGCAACGGUGAAACUCAAAGG
rnacentral:rRNA from 1 species